UACGUAGGGACCAAGCGUUGUUCGGAUUUACUGGGCGUAAAGGGCGCGUAGGCGGCGUGACAAGUCACUUGUGAAAUCUCCGGGCUUAACUCGGAACGGCCAAGUGAAACUGUCAUGCUAGAGUGCAGAAGGGGCAAUCGGAACUCUUGGUGUAGCGGUGAAAUGCGUAGAUAUCAAGAGGAACACCUGAGGUGAAGACGGGUUGCUGGGCUGACACUGACGCUGAGGCGCGAAAGCCAGGGGAGCAAACGGG
rnacentral:rRNA from 1 species